AAGGCGGUCCCUCCCCUGGACCCGCGACAGACAUCCCCAGCCCGGGGCGGCGGCUCCUACUCCCGCAGCUAGGGCUGCCUCUCAGCGCACCCCUGCACUCCUUCUUCAGACCCGUGCCGCCCGCCUCGCCCCUACUCACUUGCAGCUCUCUCAAUCGGGAAGGCGGCUGCGGUCGCUGAGCCCACCGAGCGCUCGCACGGCGCGCAGUCCGAUUCCCUUUGUUAGGGUCGGGCAGUGCCAGGGCGGCUCCCCAACCCAGGCUGGCGCUCAACUCCACUCCCCCAGGUGCCUCUGGAUCUUGCCGGGCCGAGGGAGAAGAGCCCGGGACUCAAGCUCCGAAUGUUCUGGAGUCCUGCGACCUGGAACUCUCACAGUAGGUACGCAGGCAGGCAGGACCCGGUUACAAAGGUAAAGACAGCCGGGCACCUUCCUUCCACUGGGCUUAGGAUACGGCUGCUGGAGAAGUCAGGAGGAAACAUCUUGUUGAAGAAGCAGUCUGGCAGUCUGACCAUCUCUGAUUACCCACAGACCACUUCCGAAAGACUGAAAACUUUCCUCUGUAAGAGAACUGGAAGCCACCAUCUGGCCGCUCCUUCGGUCCUUUCUAUCCUAGAGAAGAGAUUUGACUACUCUGAGGCAGUAAUCACAUCCCAAAUAUCCACCUCUGAGCUGGGAGAGGAAUCAAAUAGAGCUCCAAGAACGCAGAAAAUUGCUGGUCUGGGUUUUCUGUGUAGCAAAAUAGCCUCUACAGUAAGAUUGCUGGAGCCAGGACCAGAGCGUUCUCUUCAAGUCCAGAUAGCCGCUUCCCACCACCAACCUGGGAAAGAAAAGAUUGCCGCCUCCUCCCCAGCACCUGUCUUUCAGAUUGUCUUCCUCCAUCCUUUGAUUCUGAGCCCCUAGCUGCUCACCCUCCCCCAGCUGCUCUGGAGCCAGAGACCCAAAUCAGAAAGUGCCAGACAGUGAAUUCAGUUCUGUGGCCAAGAAGCUAUUUGUUCUUGGGUGAGUUCCACAGUCUUUCUGGGCCAUUCUUUCCUCUUCUGCAACAUGGAGAGCUAGAAGACAGCACUAAGGAUCAUGUUUACACGAAAUGAUUUAUGUGGAGCAAGUAACGUAGAGUCUAGCCUACUGAGCAUGCUCAUAAUAGUGCACUCUGCUGUGAGCCAAUGAAAGCAGACCCCGGGUGACUGUUUCUGAAAGGGUGCUAACUGAAAGUCGAAGAUUUUGUUCUACAUUAAGAGGCCAUUAAACGAUUUUAAUGCAUGGCUCACAGUGCAUCCUUGUGCUUUAGGUAGAUUCUUCGGUCGCGGUUCUUGAAGAUGGAAACAGGAGCGAGGACUUUAAGUGAGAAUCUCAGACUGACUUGGGAGCUGACAGACAGUGGAGAUCGCUUAAGCACCUGAACUGUGACGCUGACACAGGAAAUGAAGAAAAGGCAUCUAGACAAGAAUCACCAAAGACACAGUGCUGGUUUCAGUGUUAUACACAGUAAGGUGUUAAACCCACUUGUGGAUGAGGAAAUUAAGUCACCCAGGCCCUUGAGAAAUCUCAGUAUCCCUCACGUUCAUUGAAAGCCUCAAUCCUUUCUUUCAACCUCCCUCUUGUUUCCACUCAAUUUAAGAACUAAGAACCAUACAAUAGGAAAGAGACUCUUUUAAAAUGGGAUACAGCAUCUACUCUUAAGUUCUAUUUUCUAGAACUCUAACCAGUCAAUGGGGGGGAAAGGGAAGGGGUUCACUCUGGGUUUUGAACUUGCCACAUUGAUAAUACCCACACACUGUGGCAAACCUAAAAAGAAGCCCUGGGGGGGGGGGGGGUCUAGAACAGAUAAAUAGACAUGUAGGGAUAUUCCCAGAAAAACUGCAGGGGCAUCACCAUCUGGUAGCUUUCCAAAGUGGCUCUUUCAUCAGUAAGGCCUUCUGACCUGCAAUGAGAGACAAAAUGUUGAACUAUAUCUCAGGACUAUAGAGCUGCAGGCUACAGGAAUAUAGUUCAUCAUGCUGGUCGGGGACUAUAGAUUGUCAGGCUAUAGGAAUGUAGUUCAUCAUGCUGGUCGGGGGCUAUAGAGAUGCAGGCUAUAGGAAUGUAGUUCAUCAUGCUGGUUGGGGGCUAUAGAGCUGCAGGCUAUAGGAAUAUAGGUUAUCGUGCUGGUUGCUUUCCUUAGAAGUCCACAUUCCAUAACUUCUGCUCCCACUAUCUGAAUGUACCCUCCAUUCCUAUGCUGAAAUCUCAACCUGCACUCAAUGGAUAGCAUUAGGAGAUGAGAUCUUGGAGAGGCAAAUAGUCAUGAGGGCAACAUUAUCUUGAAUGAGACCACUUACCAAGGAGACACAGGCAUGUCCUUCUACCUCAUUAAGAGAAGCUAAAAGGCACCAGCUACAGACAAGAUGUCUGUCCUCACCAGUUGCCAAAGCUGAUGUCACCUAGACCUUGGGCCUACUAGACUUCAGAAUGAUGAAGAAUAUAUUUCCAAGUGCUUUAAAUCACCUAACUUGUGGUGGUUUUGUUGCUGCAUUCUUUAUUAUUAUUAUUAUUAUUAUUAUUAUUAUUAUUAUUAUUAUUAUUAUUAGGUAUUUUCCUCGUUUACAUUUUCAAUGCUAUCCCAAAGGUCCCCCAUACCCACCCCCCCCUUGUUGCUGCAUUCUUAAUAGACUUAGACAGUCCCUCGGUGUCUUAGGUCCUGUCCUUCACAGUAAUCAUUUCAGGCCAUUUACUGGUGAGUAUAAAUGAGGUGUUGCUUUGUAAUAGUCACAACAAGCCACUGGCAAACAGUAUUUCUGAGGUGUUCUUGAGAAAUACCUUGGCCGCAAAGGAUGUGGGAAGCAAUUGAAAGUUUCCUCCUAAAUCAUUUUUUUCCAACCCCACUACAUAUGCUCCCAAAGACCUAGAAGAGGUUAUCACUUAGGGAAGUGCACUUUCUACCCUGAGCACCCGUAGCACACGUUGUCCAAUAGGAGGCUGGGCUCUGGGACCCAACAAACUGUGUUCUACAUGUGCUGCCCAUGUUGUUCCUCAGUGUGGCCAAGCUCGAGGGUGAGGCUCAUAUACCAGGGAAUUACAAGAAGCCCAAGUAAGAAAACAGAAUAAAACAGCAAUGUCUCUGGGCACCAAAGAGGGCUUCUGCUGCUUGCUGAGUGGCACAGAUGAGCCAAUGGACUAUCGGGGACUAAGGAGAAGAUGACAAAGUCUCUUGAGAGUAGGUCAGUAGCCACGGAUGGGAAGGAACCAGCCCAUAGUACAGCAAGCAGCGACCUGCCAACUCCAAAAUAGAAAAGAAGUUUAGCUACGGUAUAGCCAGGAUAGUUAGGGUAGACAUACUAUGUGUAUACAUGGGCUACACUUCACCCAUUAAUUCUAAAAUCCACUCUAGGUCCUUAGGGAGAAUGAGGGAAAAAAAAAACCUGUGUCUCCAUUAUUAAGUCACAUGUUCUGGCCAAAUCUCUAAUUGUUUAACAGCAACUGCCACAUAGUCAGCAUUUUAAUGCAAGGCAGCUUGGGUAAGUGUUCUCACUUAUUCUUAGAAGUCCAGUAUUUGCAAGUGUCAUGCACAGAUGUUUUCCAAGUUCUUGCCUGAAAGGCAAUCUUGGCAUGAUAUCCAUGCCUGGGCAUGGGAAGACAACUACAGAUCUGACUUCAAAAUAUCUCUCUCUCUCUUUUUUGUGAGAUUUAUUUCAUACAUGUGAGUACACUGUCGCUGUCUUCAGACACACCUGAAGAGGGCAUUGGAUCCCCAUUACAGAUGGUUGUGAGCCACCAUGUGGUGGCUGGGAAUUGAACUCAGGACCUCUGGAAGAACAGUCAGUGCUCUUUACCACUGAGCCAUCUCUCCAGCCCAAAACAUCUUCUAAAGAAUUAUUUUAUUUUUAAUUCUGUGUGAAGGAGGGGGUGUGUAGGUGUGCACAUGAGUGCAGGUGACCUCAGAGACCAGAAGAGGGCAUCAGCUUCCCUAGAGAUGGAGUCAGGUGAUCUUGUAAGCUGGGAACUGAACUCAGGUCCUCUAUUAGACUAGUGCUCUUAACUAAUGAGUCAUCUCUUCAUAAAUAUUCAAAAAUGACUUUUUAAAAUUCCAAACAAGUUUUUAACUGCUCUCUUGGACUGGAGAUGAUACUAUUACAAAAAAAAAAAAAAAAA
rnacentral:lncRNA from 1 species